rnacentral:rRNA from 1 species
GAUGAACGCUGGCGGCGUGCCUAAUACAUGCAAGUCGAGCGAAUGGAUUAAGAGCUUGCUCUUAUGAAGUUAGCGGCGGACGGGUGAGUAACACGUGGGUAACCUGCCCAUAAGACUGGGAUAACUCCGGGAAACCGGGGCUAAUACCGGAUAACAUUUUGAACCGCAUGGUUCGAAGUUGAAAGGCGGCUUCGGCUGUCACUUAUGGAUGGACCCGCGUCGCAUUAGCUAGUUGGUAAGGUAACGGCUCACCAAGGCAACGAUGCGUAGCCGACCUGAGAGGGUGAUCGGCCACACUGGGACUGGGACACGGCCCAGACUCCUACGGGAGGCAGCAGUAGGGAAUCUUCCGCAAUGGACGAAAGUCUGACGGAGCAACGCCGCGUGAGUGAUGAAGGCUUUCGGGUCGUAAAACUCUGUUGUUAGGGAAGAACAAGUGCUAGUUGAAUAAGCUGGCACCUUGACGGUACCUAACCAGAAAGCCACGGCUAACUACGUGCCAGCAGCCGCGGUAA